GUGGGGAAUAUUGGGCAAUGGGCGCAAGCCUGACCCAGCAACGCCGCGUGAAGGAAGAAGGCUUUCGGGUUGUAAACUUCUUUUGUCAGGGAAGAUGAACAGACUGUACCUGACGAAUAAGCCACGGCUAACUACGUGCCAGCAGCCGCGGUAAUACGUAGGUGGCAAGCGUUGUCCGGAUUUACUGGGUGUAAAGGGCGUGUAGGCGGGAUUGCAAGUCAGGCGUGAAAACCAGGGGCUCAACCUCUGGCCUGCGUUUGAAACUGUAGUUCUUGAGUACUGGAGAGGUUGACGGAAUUCCUAGUGUAGCGGUGAAAUGCGUAGAUAUUAGGAGGAACACCAGUGGCGAAGGCGGUCAACUGGACAGCAACUGACGCUGAGGCGCGAAAGCGUGGGGAGCAAACAGGAUUAGAAACCCCAGUAGUCC
rnacentral:rRNA from 1 species